UACGGAGGAUGCAAGCGUUAUCCGGAUUCAUUGGGUUUAAAGGGUGCGCAGGCGGAGUGAUAAGUCAGUGGUGAAAGCCUACAGCUUAACUGUAGAACUGCCAUUGAUACUGUCAUUCUUGAGUAUUGUUGAGGUAGGCGGAAUGUGUCAUGUAGCGGUGAAAUGCUUAGAUAUGACACAGAACACCGAUCGCGAAGGCAGCUUACCAAGCAAUAACUGACGCUCAUGCACGAAAGCGUGGGGAUCAAACAGGAUUAGAUACCCUGGUAGUCCACGCCGUAAACGAUGAUCACUCGAUGUUGGCGAUACACAGUCAGCGUCUUAGGGAAACUAUUAAGUGAUCCACCUGGGGAGUACGGUCGCAAGAUUGAA
rnacentral:rRNA from 1 species